AGCCUACCAGCUAGCUCACUCACUAAAAACAACCUUUAGAUUUUUAUAACCCCAAAUACAACACCUCCACAAAACAAAACAUUUAUCCUCUAUAGUAUAGGCGAUAGAAACAGAAA
rnacentral:rRNA from 1 species